UGUCCGAACCGACGUAUCGUGACUUUGUUUACUAUUGUAGUGGGCGUGUUGCCGGCCAUAUCGCUUUAUGGCGGCUACAGAUUGGUGAUUGGCGAUUCUUGAAAGAAAAUCGAUUUAAAAUUUAAAUCUGAAUGAAAGAAAUCGAAUCAAUGAUAAAAUCACCAAGGUAGAAUCGUUUCCAAAAAUCGAUUUAAAUCGCCUAUCACUUGGAGUUACGACUACAACGGUGUCCUGACAGUCCUGUACUAGUGUACUGUACCAUAGAAUACAGAUUACUGUUUUGACUGUUUUGAGUGUACUGCACUACUGCUGUAGUUGUAUACUUGUAUAUUAUAUUAUAUAGCAUUCGCCAUUUGCUUCUACUUUCUAGUUAGUAGUUACUACGGUAGUACGGACAUUACAGUAGAGCCACGGACACAACUCACAACUCACAAGCCACAUAUUUUUACAGUUUUAGUACGUUUUUUUUAUUAACUGCGUAGUUCUGUAUCAUUCGAACCGUAAGUCCGUGACAUGCUAACCUCGUAUACUACGUAAAUCUCUAGUGUCCAGCGAUUUCUGAUCAUGCCGUAUCUUUCGCACUAUGACGCCUUAAAAUUUCAGUCGUCAGUUGUUAUGAUUCAAUUGGAUAAAAUUGCCCUCUAUGAUGAAGCCUGAUCAUAGUACAGUGUUAUUGGAAGUUCAUAUUGUCUUCUCCGUUGUUGUAUAUUCCUCCUGCACGCUUGUUGUCAUAGUCUAUAUAAUGCCAGACUAAACAAGAGUCACAUAAAAUUGGAUUUUGAUCAGCUCCUAUGUCAUUAUUACAUAAUGGGCAUACCCAGGUAAUAUUCUUUUUUUUUUGUUUAAUUACAACAUUAAUUUUUUUCCAAGCGUCAUUGGAACAGUAAGACUUAACACUGUUUAUAUCAAUCUCACUUUCUAUAAUCCCAUUAAACACAUCUGAAUAGUAUUUAACAUCUUCUUUUUGGAUUGUAUACUUAUCUUUCCUCACCUUGUUGACAACUGCCUUAUUUGGGAGCCAUUCUUUAAUCAUAUUUUCUUUUAGUAAAUUUUGUGAAUUAUAAGGAAUUGGUUUCAUCUGUUUUCUGCGUAUUAAAAGACCUAUAGUUUGUGUUGCACUCUUAAGUCUACCACAGCACUUAAUUUUUAUUGGUAAUUUUAUAUCAGCAACUUGAAACUCGUUUGAGCUGUUUUGGUUAGGUCCAGAACUUGUUGAUGGCUGGUAAACAUUUUCUAAAUCGUUCACACAUAUUUGAUUAAUAUAAUUAUUUAUUAGUUAUAACUUAAUAAUUCACUUAUAUUUUAUUAUGUUGUGUACCUGAUUCAUCAUUCGGAACAGAACUUAACAUCACGUCUUCGAUUAUAUUG